AGGCUGAGUCCGAAAAGAGAGUCAGCACAGGGAGAUAGGGGUGGGGCCAUUUUAUAAGAUUUGGGUAGGUAAAGGAAAAUUACAGUCAAAGAGGGGUUGUUCUCUGGUGGGUAGGAGUGGGGGUGCUGGGGUUUGAGAGAUCAGUCAGACACGAUCGGCAGGGAGAGCACGUGUGUUUUUAGGAGAAUUAUGCCGAGAUAGGUAACAGAUGAGGAAGAAAUUUGGGCUUGACUGAUGUAUUGGGGGCUGUCUGUGAAGCUUUGAGGCAGUACGG
rnacentral:lncRNA from 10 species